AUUUGGAAAGAAGACAAGCUCCACCCAAGCUGGGAAGGUCCCUGUCAAGUGCCUCUGCCCCUGAGACAGCCCUGCGAACAGCUGAAUGGGGGUGGACUCACUACACUGGAAUCAAGAGGCCGGUUGGGUUUCAGCCGAGCAAGUCUGAGGCCCCUUUCCCGCGCCCUCUGGUGGAAAGUGUUCGCUUUUCUGUCCACCCAUGUGAAGGAUUCACCCCGACCCUCCUCAGGUGGCCUUUACUUUGCAGGAGCAAAGCAAGUUGGAUGAGGAGAUACAUGUAUGUGGCACACAGCUUUCUUCACUUAGCAACACGUCAGAUGCAGCGUAGAUGUGCGGAUGAAACCACCAUUGCAAAAUUAUCACUGAGACAGUCAGAGAAACCUGACAUGGCUGACUCCAUGUUGCUUUUAGCCUCACAGGCUGGCUCUCUUAGCUCAUUCCUAAGCAUGGGCCUGAAACUGCCAUUGCAAAAUCGUAACUGAGACAGCAAAAGAGACUUGACCUAACCAACUCCAUCUUGCUUCUAACCUCCAAGCUGUCCUUGUUCAUUCCUGGGUGUAGGCUGAACUAACUUUGGGAG
ensembl:lncRNA ZNF496-DT ZNF496 divergent transcript